ensembl:miRNA
CCCCAAGUGAAGAAAAGCAGCAUCAGUAUCGCCUGGGAGCUUGUUAGAACUCGGGCCCUACCCAUGACCUUUUGAAUUAGCGUUUGAGUUCUGACAAGAUCCGCAAUGAUAAGUGUGCUCAUUAAAGUUUGGGAGGU